rnacentral:rRNA from 1 species
AUUGAACGCUGGCGGCAUGCCUUACACAUGCAAGUCGAACGGCAGCACGGGAGCUUGCUCCUGGUGGCGAGUGGCGAACGGGUGAGUAAUACAUCGGAACGUACCCUGAAGUGGGGGAUAACGUAGCGAAAGUUACGCUAAUACCGCAUAUUCUGUGAGCAGGAAAGAGGGGGAUCGCAAGACCUCUUGCUUUAGGAGCGGCCGAUGUCGGAUUAGCUAGUUGGUGAGGUAAAGGCUCACCAAGGCGACGAUCCGUAGCGGGUCUGAGAGGAUGAUCCGCCACACUGGGACUGAGACACGGCCCAGACUCCUACGGGAGGCAGCAGUGGGGAAUAUUGGACAAUGGGCGAAAGCCUGAUCCAGCCACGCCGCGUGAGUGAUGAAGGCCUUCGGGUUGUAAAGCUCUGUCGUAGGGGACGAAAGGGGAAACCGUUUGACGGUACCUUACAAGGAAGCACCGGCUAACUCCGUGCCAGCAGCCGCGGUAAU